rnacentral:rRNA from 1 species
AUGAACGCUAGCGGCAGGCUUAAUACAUGCAAGUCGAGGGGCAUCAAGGUACACGAAAGUGUAUUGUUGGCGACCGGCGACGGGUGAGUAAUAGGUAGGUAACCUACCUCAUACUGAGGCAUAGCUGGGAGAAAUUCCAGGUAAUUCCUCAUGAGGUUAUAUGACACAUGUGAUAUAAUCAAAGGUAUCGCAAGGUACUGGUAUGAGAUGGGCUUACUGACCAUUAGCUAGUUGGUGAGAUAAGAGCUCACCAAGGCGAAGAUGGUUAGGGGUUUUGAGAGAGAGAUCCCCCACAUUGGAACUGAGAUACGGUCCAGACUCCUACGGGAGGCAGCAGUAGGGAAUAUUGGGCAAUGGUCGAAAGACUGACCCAGCCAUGCCGCGUGCAGGAUGAAGGCCCUAUGGGUUGUAAACUGCUUUUAGCCGGGAAUAAACACCCGUUUUAUAACGGGCCCGAAGGUACCGGCUGAAUAAGCAUCGGCUAACUCCGUG